GAGUUUGAUCCUGGCUCAGAACGAACGCUGGCGGCAGGCCUAAAACAUGCAAGUCGAGCGCCCAGCAAUGGGAGCGGCGGACGGGUGAGUAACACGUGGGAAUGUACCUUUCGGUUCGGAACAACCCAGGGAAACUUGGGCUAAUACUGGAUACGCCCUUACGGGGAAAGAUUUAUCGCCGAAAGAUCAGCCCGCGUUGGAUUAGCUAGUUGGUGAGGUAACGGCCCACCAAGGCGACGAUCCAUAGCUGGUUUGAGAGAACGACCAGCCACACUGGGACUGUGACACGGCCCAGACUCCUACGGGAGGCAGCAGUUGGGAAUCUUGGACAAUGGGGGAAACCCUGAUCCAGCCAUGCCGCGUGAGUGAUGAAGGCCUUCGGGUUGUAAAACUCUUUCGACGGGGACGAUAAUGACGGUACCCGUAGAAGAAGCUCCGGCUAACUUCGUGCCAGCAGCCGCGGUAAUACGAAGGGGGCUAGCGUUGUUCGGAAUUACUGGGCGUAAAGCGUGCGCAGGCGGCCAUCCAAGUCAGUGGUGAAAGCCCGGAGCUCAACUCCGGAAUUGCCAUUGAAACUGUUUGGCUCGAGUACGAGAGAGGUGAGUGGAAUUCCCAGUGUAGAGGUGAAAUUCGCAGAUAUCGGGAGGAACACCGGUGGCGAAGGCGGCUCUCUGGACCACAACUGACGCUGAUGCGCGAAAGCUAGGGGAGCAAACAGGAUUAGAUACCCUGGUAGUCCUAGCCCUAAACGAUGGAUACUUGGUGUGGGGGGUGUUAAAUCCCCCCGUGCCGAAGCUAACGCGUUAAGUAUCCCGCCUGGGGAGUACGGUCGCAAGGCUGAAACUCAAAGGAAUUGACGGGGGCCCGCACAAGCGGUGGAGCAUGUGGUUCAAUUCGACGCAACGCGAAGAACCUUACCUGGGCUAGACAACGGCGGACCGUCCAUGAAAGUGGAUCUUCCCUUCGGGGACUGCCGGUUCAGGUGCUGCAUGGCUGUCGUCAGCUCGUGCCGUGAGGUGUUGGGUUAAGUCCCGCAACGAGCGCAACCCUCGUCCUUAGUUGCCACCAUUCAGUUGGGCACUCUAGGGGGACUGCCGGCGUUAAGCCGGAGGAAGGUGGGGACGACGUCAAGUCAUCAUGGCCCUUAUGUCCAGGGCCACACACGUGCUACAAUGGGCGGUACAAAGGGUCGCUAACCCGCGAGGGGGAGCCAAUCCCAAAAAGCCGCUCUCAGUUCGGAUUGGAGUCUGCAACUCGACUCCAUGAAGCUGGAAUCGCUAGUAAUCGCGGAUCAGAACGCCGCGGUGAAUACGUUCCCGGGCCUUGCACACAC
rnacentral:rRNA from 1 species